rfam:Halomonas huangheensis strain BJGMM-B45 contig27_scaffold7, whole genome shotgun sequence.
GGAGGGAUGGCAGAGCGGUUGAAUGCACCGGUCUUGAAAACCGGCGUAGGUUAAUAGCCUACCCAGGGUUCGAAUCCCUGUCCCUCCG